rnacentral:rRNA from 1 species
AUUGAACGCUGGCGGCAUGCUUUACACAUGCAAGUCGAACGGUAACAGGCCGCAAGGUGCUGACGAGUGGCGAACGGGUGAGUAAUGCAUCGGAACGUGCCCAGUCGUGGGGGAUAACUACUCGAAAGAGUAGCUAAUACCGCAUACGAUCUAUGGAUGAAAGCGGGGGACCGUAAGGCCUCGCGCGAUUGGAGCGGCCGAUGUCAGAUUAGGUAGUUGGUGGGGUAAAGGCUCACCAAGCCAACGAUCUGUAGCUGGUCUGAGAGGACAACCAGCCACACUGGGACUGAGACACGGCCCAGACUCCUACGGGAGGCAGCAGUGGGGAAUUUUGGACAAUGGGCGCAAGCCUGAUCCAGCAAUGCCGCGUGCAGGAAGAAGGCCUUCGAGUUGUAAACUGCUUUUGUACGGAACGAAACGGCUCUGGUUAAUACCCGGGGCUAAUGACGGUACCGGAAGAAUAAGCACCGGCUAACUACGUG